rnacentral:rRNA from 1 species
UGGGGAAUUUUGGACAAUGGGCGCAAGCCUGAUCCAGCCAUGCCGCGUGCGGGAAGAAGGCCUUCGGGUUGUAAACCGCUUUUGUCAGGGAAGAAACGCUCUGGGCUAAUACCCUGGGGUAAUGACGGUACCUGAAGAAUAAGCACCGGCUAACUACGUGCCAGCAGCCGCGGUAAUACGUAGGGUGCAAGCGUUAAUCGGAAUUACUGGGCGUAAAGCGUGCGCAGGCGGUUAUGCAAGACAGAUGUGAAAUCUCCGGGCUUAACUCGGAACGGUCAGAUGAUACUGCUUUGCUAGAGUGCAGAAGGGGCAAUCGGAAUUCUUGGUGUAGCGGUGAAAUGCGUAGAUAUCAAGAGGAACACCUGAGGUGAAGACGGGUUGCUGGGCUGACACUGACGCUGAGGCGCGAAAGCCAGGGGAGCAAACGGGAUUAGAUACCCUCGUAGUCCCUGAGCGGGCUGGCAAGGCGCAU